rnacentral:lncRNA from 1 species
AGUGAUCGAAAGUGGUUGAUGUACUCUAAACAUGUGAAUAAAGUUUACUGUUUUUGCCGCAAAUUGUUCAAGUCUGAAAGUAGCAGAAGUUUACUAGCAUCUGAAGGACUAAUGGACUGGAAGCAUCUAAGCGAGAAGCUCAAACUUCAUGAGAAUAGUGUUGAGCAUAUCACUAACAUGAAUACUUGGAAUGAGGUAAGACUGGGGCUAAGUAAAAAUGUGACAAUUGAUAAAGAUCUGCAACAAGAAAUUGCAAAGGAGAAAGAGCGAUGGAGACAGGUUCUGAUUAGAAUUGUUGCUGCAGUGAAGUUUCUUGCCAAGCAUAAUUUGGCUUUUCGAGGAUCAAAUGAGAAACUAUACCAAGUUAGCAAUGGAAACUUUUUGGGAGUAAUUGAUUUAGACCUGAAGUAUGACAUUGUUAUUUAUGGCCUGGAGUAUUAUUUACCAAGGAAAAUUACCACUGUUUAUUAUAGCUUUGCAAGAAUUAUUUUUCUAUCAAUGUAUGGGAUCAUUUUUUCCUCCAAUAUCGCCACUGGGCCCAUUCAUUUGAGUUCUCCCUGGGGCCUCCGAAACUCAAGGACCGGCGCUGCGUGCUCCCCGCUAUGAUGUCGCCUGCUCAUGGUCGCACGCCAUGCUCAUUUCCUUGACCCAUCCCCCGCAUGCGCUACUUCACUACUGCAGGGUACGCUGAUGGCCUCACGAGAAUGCUAGGUUCAUCGGCAAGGCGCACACACGGUGAUUGUGUUAAUGCGUCGGAUGAGGCUCACAUUUAGUUUGUGUUUCUUUCUUGGACCUGAGGCCAUACUAAAAAUUGUUUGGCCAAAUGCCAACAAUUAUGUCUGAUACAUAUUGCAUAUUAUGCUGGUCACAAUGAGAAGUAUCAUGCAUAUGAUACUAUUUUCAUAGUGCGUAAUAUUAUAAAUUUGUAUCAUAGUGACCUCAUUUAUUAUCAUGCAUGACACAUACUAGUAUAUCAUUUAAUAUGAUACGGAAUCAUAUCAUAAUACUUAAUUCUCUCUUUUCUCAUUUAAUUGUGUGCCACCUUAGCAAACAUGUCUAGUUAGCAUGCAUGAUACUACCUAUAAUACUAUCAUUGUGACCAACCUUAUGAUUUUGUUCAAAUGUAUGAACGCAAAUAAUUCCAUGCAAUUUUAUGCAUAUAAUUCCCAAAUCAUAAUUACUCUUUCAUGUUUCAUUUAUUUCGGCAACUACAAAGCCGAAACAACAUAUGUACCCCACUGCCGGGAAUUAUUUCUAAGCAUGGUAUUGUUGCAAAUUUCAGGUAUUUUACAUAAUACUUAAAUCAUCAAGUGGCUGGAGGGAAUGGUGUCUGUUCACAAGGUGCGUGAUCCUUUGAUCAAAUUCUGAUUAUAAUGUGCUGCAAGGAAAAUCAAGUUUUGAGGCCAGCGAUUUAUCUUGGAUGUUACAUGUGCAUUUCUAUAGCUAAUCUCUCUCUCUCUCUCUCUCUGCGCGCCAGGGUCAAAGGUAGUCUCUUUCUAAGAAAAGGUUCCUAACAAUCUGUUGCAAAAACCCCCAUUUUCUAGUUCGCUAUUUUUUCAACAUACUUUAAGGGAAGUAGAAGAUUCCCCUGACCGCCACCAUGAAAUUUCCUAAUACAUAUGAGACUAAUCCCUGCGCCCCCCUAGGCCCUAGCAAAAACUUUGCUUUUCAGGAAAUGAAUCACCUCAUGAAAAAUCAAAAUACCCUAUGUCGUAUUUUUCACAAAGGCAGUCCGUUCUAUCAAUUAUUAUUUUCUGCCACUUCAGCAGAUCUAGUAUGUAUUCAUUGUUUUUCAAGCUACUAUUCACCGGACAAAUAGGCCUAAACUAAAUUUCUGAAUGAUAAUACAAUGCUUAUNNNNNNNNNNNNNNNNNNNNNNNNNNNNNNNNNNNNNNNNNNNNNNNNNNNNNNNNNNNNNNNNNNNNNNNNNNNNNNNNNNNNNNNNNNNNNNNNNNNNNNNNNNNNNNNNNNNNNNNNNNNNNNNNNNNNNNNNNNNNNNNNNNNNNNNNNNNNNNNNNNNNNNNNNNNNNNNNNNNNNNNNNNNNNNNNNNNNNNNNNNNNNNNNNNNNNNNNNNNNNNNNNNNNNNNNNNNNNNNNNNNNNNNNNNNNNNNNNNNNNNNNNNNNNNNNNNNNNNNNNNNNNNNNNNNNNNNNNNNNNNNNNNNNNNNNNNNNNNNNNNNNNNNNNNNNNNNNNNNNNNNNNNNNNNNNNNNNNNNNNNNNNNNNNNNNNNNNNNNNNNNNNNNNNNNNNNNNNNNNNNNNNNNNNNNNNNNNGACAUUGUCUGAUGUAGAGGCGUCCACACAACAGUAGAAGAUGGCAAAACUGCACAUAAGCGGCACGAACAAUGGAAAAAUCUACACAUUGUUUAGAGUUAAUCAACAUAACCUAAAGCAGGAUGUAGCAACAUAUGCAUUUCAUCAUAAGCUUUGAGCCUCUUUUUUUUAUGCUUCAACGGAGGGCUUCUGCUGGCUUGAAACAUAUAUUAAAACCAAACAGACCAGUCAUUUAUAGGGAAGGUUUUGGAGAUAUAAAUCAGGGAGGAUAGGGAAGGAUGAAGCAUAGGUUAGAUUCUCUUAGUUAGGCGAAACAACAUGACUCUCCAGUCGUUGAGUAUGGCCCUUUUUGAUUCAUUCACGCAUCUAUUAGACCAAAGCAUUAGAUCAUCAGUAGCGACACGCACAGGGAUAUUAAGUCCCUGAGUUUCAUCGCAGAAAACCUUCAUGUUGCACCUUUUCUACAUGCUCCGAAGAAUCGUCAUGAUGACGGUAGAUUUCAUCUUGUUGAGGAUAUCUUGACCCCAUAGAUGAGAAAGGUUUACCAGAGGGUCUACGGUCGCAAUUCAGAUCAUCGCAAAGAGGCUUCAUGUUGGAGCAAAGGAAUAACAUGUGAUUGGUAGUCUCCGACAAUGGACAGAAUCACAGAAGGGGCAGCGAUCAUCUGCAGCAAUCCCCCCUCCCCCCAUAUAGCCUUGUAAGCUGAUUUCGUGGAGAGAGUUUUCCCAAUGAGUUUGUUGUUCCUUCUAUCUACACCUACGAGUUCAAAGAACACGUAGCAAGCAUAACACACAAAGUUCAAAGCUCUUUCCGCUAGGUGGGAUAGCUGAGGGGCGAGAUCAAGGUGGAGCACAGGGUUGCUCAUAGCCCCUGCAAUGGACACAUUUGGUCUAUUUGAAUGAGAGAACAACACCGGGAAUCUAGAGGCUAGUGUGGAGCAAGAUUCUGGGAAGCUUUGAGCCAUUCAGUGUACAACAAACUAAUGUUGGGGAACGUAGCAGAAAUUCAAAAUUUUCCUACGUGUCACCAAGAUCUAUCUAUGGAGAGACCAGCAACGAGGGGAAGGAGAGUGCAUCUACAUACCCUUGUAGAUCGCUAAGCGGAAGCGUUCAAGAGAACGGGGUUGAUGGAGUCGUACUCGUCGUGAUUCAGAUCACCGAUGAUCCUAGUGCCGAACGGACGGCACCUCCGCGUUCAACACACGUACAGCCCGGUGACGUCUCCCACGCCUUGAUCCAGCAAGGAGAGAGGGAGAGGUUGAGGAAGACUCCAUCCAGCAGUAGCACAAUGGCGUGGUGGUGAUGGAGGAGCGUGACAAUCCUGCAGGGCUUUGCCAAGCACCUACGGGAGAGGAGGAGGUGUCACGGGAGGGAGGGAGGCGCCAGGGACUCAGGUAUGGAUGCCCUCCCUCCCCUCCACUAUAUAUAGGGGCAAGGGAGAGGGGGGAGGCGCAGCCUUGCCCCUUUCCUCCAAGGAAGGGGUGCGGCCAAGAGGGGGGGAGGAGUCCAUCCUCCCCAAGGCACCUCGGAGGUGCCUUCCCCCUUGAGGACUCUUCCCUCCCCAAGUUUCCUUGGCGCAUGGGCCUCUUGGGGCUGGUGCCCUUGGCCCAUAUAGGCCAAGGCGCACCCCCUACAGCCCAUGUGCCCCCCCGGGGCAGGUGGACCCCCCGGUGGACCCCCGGACCUCUUUCGGCACUCCCGGUACAAUACCGAUAAAGUGCGAAACUUUUCCGGCGACCAAAACAGGACUUCCCAUAUAUAAAUCUUUACCUCCGGACCAUUCCGGAACUCCUCGUGACGUCCGGGAUCUCAUCCGGGACUCCGAACAACAUUCGGUAACCACAUACAAACUUCCUUUAUAACCCUAGCGUCAUAGAACCUUAAGUGUGUAGACCCUACGGGUUCGGGAGACAUGCAGACAUGACCGAGACGUUCUCCGGUCAAUAACCAACAGCGGGAUCUGGAUACCCAUGUUGGCUCCCACAUGUUCCACGAUGAUCUCAUCGGAUGAACCACGAUGUCAAGGACUUAAUCAAUCCCGUAUACAAUUCCCUUUGUCUAUCGGUACGAUACUUGUCCGAGAUUCGACCGUCGGUAUCCCGAUACCUUGUUCAAUCUCGUUACCGGCAAGUCUCUUUACUCGUUCCGUAACACAUCAUCCCGUGAUCAACCCCUUGGUCACAUUGUGCACAUUAUGAUGAUGUCCUACCGAGUGGGCCCAGAGAUACCUCUCCGCUUACACGGAGUGACAAAUCCCAGUCUCGAUUCGUGCCAACCCAACAGACACUUUUGGAGAUACCUGUAAUGCACCUUUAUAGCCACCCAGUUACGUUGUGACGUUUGGUACACCCAAACAUUCCUACUGUAUCCGGGAGUUGCACAAUCUCAUGGUCUAAGGAAAAGAUACUUGACAUUAGAAAAGCUUCAGCAUAUGAACUACAUGAUCUUGUGCUAGGCUUAGGAUUGGGUCUUGUCCAUCACAUCAUUCUCUUAAUGAUGUGAUCCCGUUAUCAACGACAUCCAAUGUCCAUGGUCAGGAAACUGUAACCAUCUAUUGAUCAACGAGCUAGUCAACUAGAGGCUUACUAGGGACAUGGUGUUGUCUAUGUAUCCACACAUGUAUCUGAGUUUCCUAUCAAUACAAUUCUAGCAUGGAUAAUAAACAAUUAUCAUGAACAAGGAAAUAUAAUAAUAACUAAUUUAUUAUUUCCUCUAGGGCAUAUUUCCAACAGUCUCCCACUUGCACUAGAGUCAAUAAUCCAGUUCACAUCGAUAUGUGAUUAACACUCAAGGUCACAUCCCCAUGUGACUAACACCCAAGAGUUUACUAGAGUCAAUAAUCUAGUUCACAUCGAUAUGUGACUAACACUCGAUGAGUUCUGGGUUUGAUCAUGUCAUGCUUGUGAGAGAUGUUAUAGUCAACGGGUCUGAAUCAUUCAGAUCCGUGUGCGCUUUACAAAUCUCUAUGUCAUCUCCUAGAUGCAGCUACCUCGUUCUAUUUGGAGCUAUUCCAAAUAACUGUUCUACUUGGAGCUAUUCUAAAUUGUUGCUCCAUUAUACGUAUCCGGUAUCUCUACUCAGAGCUAUCCGGAUAGGUGUUAAGCUUGUAUCGACGUAACCCUUUACGACGAACUCUUUUACCACCUCCAUAAUCGAGAAAAUUCCUUAGUCCACUAGUUACUAAGGAUAAAUUUGACCGAUGUCCCGUGUCCAUUCUUGGAUCACUCUUGUACCCCUUGACUGACUCAUGGCAAGGCACACUUCAGGUGCGGUACACAGCAUAGCAUACUGUAGAGCCUAUGUCUUAAGCAUAGGGGACGACCUUCGUCCUUUCUCUCUAUUCUGCCGUGGUCGAGCUUUAAGUCUUAACUUCAUACCCUUCAACUCAGGCAAGAACUCCUUCUUUGACUGAUCCAUCUUGAACACCUUCAAGAUCAUGUCAAGGUAUGUUCUCAUUUGAAAGUACCAUUAAGCGUUUUGAUCUAUCCUUAUAGAUCUUGAUGCUCAAUGUUCAAGUAGCUUGAUCCAGGCUUUCCAUUGAAAAACACUUUCCAAAUAACCCUAUAUGCUUUCCAGAAAUUCUACGUCAUUUCUGAUCAACAAUAUGUCAACAACAUAUAUUUAUCAGAAAUUCUAUAGUGCUCCCACUCACUUCUUUGGAAAUACAAGUUUCUCAUAAACUUUGUAUAAACCCAAAAUCUUUGAUCAUCAUCAAAGCAUACAUUCCAACUCCGAGAUGCUUACUCCAGUCCUUAGAAGGAUUGCUAGAGCUUUGCAUGCUUAUUAGCAUCUUUCAGGAUUGACAAAACCUUUCUGAUUGUAUCACAUACAACCUUUCCUUACGGAAGUUGGUAAGGAAACUCGUUUUGACAUCCAUCUGCCAGAUUUCAUAAAUGCAGCUUAUGCUAACAUGAUUCCGACGGACUUAAGCAUCGCUACGGAUGAGAAAAUCUCAUCGCAGUCAUCUCCUUGAACUUGUGAAAAAACUCUUCGCCACAAGUCGAGCUUCAUAGACGGUGACAUUACCGUCCACGUCCGUCUUCUUCUUAAAGAUCCAUUUAUCUUAAUGGCUUGCCGAUCAUUGGGCAAGUCCACCAAAGUCCAUGCUUUGUUCUGAUACAUGGAUCCUAUCUUGGAUUUCAUGGUUUCUUAACCAUUUGUCGGAAUUUGGGCCCACCAUCGCUUCUCCAUAGCUCGUAGGUUCAUUGUUGUCUAGCAACAUGACUUCCAAGACAGGAUUACGUACCACUCUGAAGUAGUACGCAUCCUUGUCAUCCCACGAGGUUUGGUAGUGACUUGAUCUGAAGUUUCAUGAUCACUAUCAUAAGCUUCCACUUCAAUUGGUGUAGGUGCCACAGGAACAACUUCCUGUGCCCUGCCAUACACUAGUUGAAGAGACGGUUCAAUAACCUCAUCAAGUCUCCACCAUCCUCCCACUCAAUUCUUUCGAGAGAAACUUUUCCUCGAGAAAGGACCCGAUUCUAGAAACAAUCACUUUUGCUUCCGGAUCUGAAUUAGGAGGUAUACCCAACUGUUUUGGAUGUCCUAUGAAGAUGCAUUUAUCCGCUUUGGGUUCGAGCUUAUCAGCCUGAAACUUUUUCACAUAAGCGUCGCAGCCCCAAACUUCUAAGAAAUGACAGCUUAGGUUUCCCUAAACCAUAGUUCAUAUGGUGUCAUCUCAUCGGAAUUACGUGGUGCCCUAUUUAAAGUGAAUGUGGUUGUCUCUAAUGCCUAACCCAUAAACUAUCGUGGUAAUUCGAUAAGAGACAUCAUGGUAUGCAUCAUAUCCAAUAGGGUGCAGUUAUGAUGUUCGGACACACCAUCCCACUAUGGUGUUCCAGGCUGUACUAGUUGUGAAACAAUUUCCACAAUGUCUUAAUUCUGUGCCAAACUCGUAAUUCAGAUAUUCAUCUCUAUGAUCAUAUCAUAGAUCUUUUAUCCUCUUGUCACGAUGAUCUUUCAACUUCACACUGAAAUUACUUGAACCUUUCAAUAAUUCAGACUUGUGAUUCAUCAAGUAAAUAUACUCAACAUCUACUCAAAUCAUCUGUGAAGUAAGAACAUAACGAUAUCCACUACAUGCCUCAGCACUCAUUGGACUGCACACAUCAAAAUGUAUUACUUCCAACAAGUUGCUUUCUAGUUCCAUUUUACUGAAAACGAGGCUUUCAGUCAUCUUGCCCAUAUGGUAUGAUUUGCAUGUCUCAAGUGAUUCAAAACCAAGUGAGUCCAAACGAUCCAUCUGUAUAGAGUUUCUUCAUGCAUAUCUACCAACAAACAUGAUUCGCAUGUCUCAAUCCUUUCAAAAACGAGUGAGUCCAAAGAUCCAUCAACAUGGAGCUUCUUCAUGCGUUUUAUACCGAUAUGACUUAAGUGGCAGUGCCACAAGUAGGUGGUACUAUCAUUACUAUCUUUUGGCAUGAACAUGUGUAUCACUACGAUCGAGAUUCAAUAAACCAUUCAUUUCAGGUGUAAGACCAUUUGAAGGUAUUAUUCAAAUAAACAGAGUAACCAUUAUUCUCUUUAAAUGAAUAACGUAUUGCGAUAGACAUAAUCCAAUCAUGUCUAUGCUCAACGCAAACACCAAAUAACAAUUAUUUAGGUUUUAAUACCAAUCUCGAUGGUAGAGGGAGUGUGCGAUGCUUGAUCAUAUCAACCCUGGAAACACUUCCAACACAUAUCGUCAGCUCACCUUUAGCUAGUCUCCGUUUAUUCCGUAGCUUUUAUUUCGAGUUACUAACACUUAGUAACCGAACCGGUAUCUAAUACCCUGGUGCUACUAGGAGUACGAGUAAAGUACACAUCAACACAAUGUAUACCCAAUAUACUUCUAUCGACCUUACAAGCCUUCUCAUCUACCAAGUAUCUAGGGUAAUCCUGCUCCAGUGGCUGUUCCCCUUAUUACAGAAGCACUCAGUCUCGGGUUUGGGUUCAACCUUGGGUUUCUUUACUAGAGCAGCAGCUGAAUUGCCAUUUCAUGAAGUAUCCCUUUGUUCCCUUGCCCUUCUUGAAACUAGUGGUUUCACCAACCAUCAACAAUUGAUGCUCCUUCUUGAUCUCUACUUUUGUGGUGUCAAACAUCACGAAUAUCUCAAGGAUCAUCAUAUAUAUAUAUCCCUGAUAUAUUAUAGUUCAUCACGAAGCUUAGCAGCUUGGUGGUAAUGACUUCGGAGAAACAUCACUAUCUCAUCUGGAAGAUCAACUCCCACUUGAUUCAAGCGAUUGUUGUACUCAGACAAUCUGAGCACAAGCUCAACAAUUGAGCUUUUCUCCCUUAGUUUGCAGGCUAAGAAAAUCGUCGGAGGUCUUAUACCUCUUGACGUGGGCACGAGCCUGGAAUCCCAAUUUCAGUCCUUGAAACAUCUCAUAUGUUUCGCGACGUUUCGAAAAUGUCUUCGGUGCCUCAAUUCUAAACCAUUUAACAUUACCGAACUAUCAUGUAGUCAUCAAAACAUGUGUGUCAGAUGUUCGCAACAUCCACAGACAACGUUCGAGGUUCAGCACACUGAGCGGUGCAUUAAGGACAUAAGCCUUCUAUGAAGCAAUGAGGACAAUCCUCAGUUUACGGACCUAGUCCGCAUAAUUGCUACUAUCAACUUUCAACUAAUUUUUUCUCUAGGAACAUAUCUAAACAGUAGAACUAUAGCGUGAGCUAUGACAUAAUUUGCAAAAUCCUUUUGACUAUGUUUAGGAUAAUUAAGUUCAUCUUAUGAACUCCCACUCAGAUAGACAUCCCUCUAGUCAUCUAAGUGAUUACAUGAUCCGAGUCAACUAGGCCGUGUCCGAUCAUCACGUGAGAUGGACUAGCCAACGUCGGUGAACAUCUUCAUGUUGAUCGUAUCUUCUAUACGACUCAUGCUCGACCUUUCGGUCUUCUGUGUUCCGAGGCCAUGUCUAUGCACAUGCUAGGCUCGUCAAGUUAACCCUAAGUGUUUUGCAUGUGUAAAACUGUCUUACACCCGUUGUAUGUGAACGUAAGGAUCUAUCACACCCGAUCAUCACGUGGUGCUUCGAAACGACGAACUGUAGCAAUGGUGCACAGUUAGGGGAGAACACUUCUUGAAAUUUUAAUGAGGGAUCAUCUUAUUUACUACCGUCGUUCUAAGCAAAUAAGAUGUAUAAACAUGAUAAACAUCACAUGCAAUCAAAUAAUAGUGACAUGAUAUGGCCAAUAUCAUAUAGCUCCUUUGAUCUCCAUCUUGGGGCUCCAUGAUCAUCAUCGUCACCGGCAUGACACCAUGAUCUCCAUCAUCGUGUCUUCUUGAAGUUGUCACGUCAUCUAUUACUUCUACUACUAUGGAUAACGCUUUAGCAAUAAAGUAAAGUAAUUACAUGACGUUUAUGUUGACACGCAGGUCAUAAAUAAAUUAAGACAACUCCUAUGGCUCCUGCCGGUUGUCAUACUCAUCGACAUGCAAGUCGUGAUACCUAUUACAAGAACAUGAUCAAUCUCAUACAUCACAUAUAUCAUUCAUCACAUCCUUUUGGCCAUAUCACAUCACAUAGCAUACCCUGCAAAAACAAGUUAGACGCCCUCUAAUUGUUGUUUGCAUGUUUUAUGUGGCUGCUAUGGGUUUCUAGCAAGAACGUUUCUUACCUACGCAAAAACCACAACGUGAUAUGCCAAUUGCUAUUUACCCUUCAUAAGGACCCUUUUCAUCGAAUCCGAUCCGACUAAAGUAGGAGAGACAGACACCCGCUAGCCACCUUAUGCAACUAGUGCAUGUCAGUCGGUGGAACCAGUCUCACGUAAGAGUACGUGUAAGGUCGGUCCGGGCCGCUUCAUCCCACGAUGCCGCCGAAUCAAGAUAAGACUAGUAACGGCAAGCAUAUUGAACAAAAUCAACGCCCACAACUACUUUGUGUUCUACUCAUGCAUAGAAACUACGCAUAGACCUAGCUCAUGAUGCCACUGUUGGGGAACGUAGCAGAAAUUCAAAAUUUUCCUACGUGUCACCAAGAUCUAUCUAUGGAGAGACCAGCAACGAGGGAAAGGAGAGUGCAUCUACAUACCCUUGUAGAUCGCUAAGCGGAAGCGUUCAAGAGAACGGGGUUGAUGGAGUCGUACUCGUCGUGAUUCAGAUCACCGAUGAUCCUAGUGCCGAACGGACGGCACCUCCGCGUUCAACACACGUACAGCCCGGUGACGUCUCCCACGCCUUGAUCCAGCAAGGAGAGAGGGAGAGGUUGAGGAAGACUCCAUCCAGUAGCAGCACAACGGCGUGGUGGUGAUGGAGGAGCGUGGCAAUCCUGCAGGGCUUUGCCAAGCACCUACGGGAGAGGAGGAGGUGUCACGGGAGGGAGGGAGGCGCCAGGGACUCAGGUAUGGAUACCCUCCCUCCCCUCCACUAUAUAUAGGGGCAAGGGAGAGGGGGGAGGCGCAGCCUUGCCCCUUCCUCCAAGGAAGGGGUGCGGCCAAGAGGGGGGGAGGAGUCCAUCCUCCCCAAGGCACCUCGGAGGUGCCUUCCCCCUUGAGGACUCUUCCCUCCCCAAGUUUGCUUGGCGCAUGGGCCUCUUGGGGCUGGUGCCCUUGGCCCAUAUAGGCCAAGGCGCACCCCCUACAGCCCAUGUGGCCCCCCGGGGCAGGUGGACCCCCUGGUGGACCCCCGGACCCCUUUCGGCACUCCCGGUACAAUACCGAUAAAGUGCGAAACUUUUCCGGCGACCAAAACAGGACUUCCCAUAUAUAAAUCUUUACCUCCGGACCAUUCCGGAACUCCUCGUGACGUCCGGGAUCUCAUCCGGGACUCCGAACAACAUUCGGUAACCACAUACAAACUUCCUUUAUAACCCUAGCUUCAUCGAACCUUAAGUGUGUAGAUCCUACGGGUUCGGGAGACAUGCAGACAUGACCGAGACGUUCUCCGGUCAAUAACCAACAGCGGGAUCUGGAUACCCAUGUUGGCUCCCACAUGUUCCACGAUGAUCUCAUCGGAUGAACCACGAUGUCAAGGACUUAAUCAAUCUCGUAUACAAUUCCCUUUGUCUAUCGGUACGAUACUUGUCCGAGAUUCGACCGUCGGUAUCCCGAUACCUUGUUCAAUCUCGUUACCGGCAAGUCUCUUUACUCGUUCCGUAACACAUCAUCCCGUGAUCAACCCCUUGGUCACAUUGUGCACAUUAUGAUGAUGUCCUACCGAGUGGGCCCAGAGAUACCUCUCCGCUUACACGGAGUGACAAAUCCCAGUCUCGAUUCGUGCCAACCCAAUAGACACUUUCGGAGAUACCUGUAAUGCACCUUUAUAGCCACCCAGUUACGUUGUGACGUUUGGUACACCCAAAGCAUUCCUACGGUAUCCGGGAGUUGCACAAUCUCAUGGUCUAAGGAAAAGAUACUUGACAUUAGAAAAGCUUCAGCAUACGAACUACAUGAUCUUGUGCUAGGCUUAGGAUUGGGUCUUGUCCAUCACAUCAUUCUCCUAAUGAUGUGAUCCCGUUAUCAACGACAUCCAAUGUCCAUGGUCAGGAAACCGUAACCAUCUAUUGAUCAACGAGCUAGUCAACUAGAGGCUUACUAGGGACAUGGUGUUGUCUAUGUAUCCACACAUGUAUCUGAGUUUCCUAUCAAUACAAUUCUAGCAUGGAUAAUAAACGAUUAUCAUGAACAAGGAAAUAUAAUAAUAACUAAUUUAUUAUUGCCUCUAGGGCAUAUUUCCAACAACUAAUACAGUAGCUAUGCAUUGUGAGAAAGGCUGGGAACGUCGUGCCUUUGCCAGGGCCGACGGCUUCGUGUUUAUAUGCAGGGUCGCGACCUCCCUGAUAGCGUACAAGUUGUUGGGAUUACAAACUUGGAGAACAAGAGAUAGACUAAGAGAUAGAUAUCUAGUUUAACAGGAAAAUAAACCAUAACAGAUUCCUAGUCUAUCCUACGCUAGGAGCUUCGGUUGUUAAUCCCUUGGCGCAUACGAUGAGGGCUGUCAUGUUGUCUAACACCCUCCCUUAAUCACAACUUUGCAAGUUGAGAUUACGCUUGAAUUCUUCAAGAUUUCUUGUAGGUAAAGCCUUGGUGAAGCCAUCUGCAACCUGGUCCUUUGAAUGCACAAAACGAAUUUCCAAUUGUUUAUUAGCAACACGUUCUCUUACAAAAUGGAAAUAUAUCUCAAUGUGUUUUGUCCUUGCAUGAAAGACCGGAUUAGCAGACAAAUAGGUGGCACCAAUAUUGUCACACCAUAAACAAGGAGCCUGAAUGUGUUUUAUACCAAGUUCUCUUAACAUGGACUGAACCCAAAUGAUCUCUGUUGUGGCAUUUGCCAGUGCCUUAUAUUCAGCCUCUGUUCCUGACCUUGAUACAGUUGUCUGUUUCCUUGCACACCAUGAUAUAAGGUUGGGUCCAAAAAAUACUGCAAACCCACCAGUAGAGCGUCUGUCAUCUAGACAGCCUGCCCAGUCUGAGUCAGAAAAAACACUGACAAGUUUAGAUGAGGACUUGAUGAAUGUGAGACCAAGAUUCAUAGUAUGCUUUACAUAUCUCACAAUACCCUUUGCAGCAGUCCAAUGAACUGUGGUAGGUGCAUGAAGAAACUGACAUACUUUGUUAACAGCAAAGGAAAUGUCAGGUCUUGUUAGAGUAAGAUAUUGAAGUGCUCCUACUAAACUUCUGUACCUGGUACUGUCCUCUUGAUUCAAAGGAUCUCCUUCUGUAAGAGACAAUUUUUCUGUGCUAGACAAGGGAGUUGGAACAGGCUUACACCCUUGCAAACCAACCCUUCUUACCAAAUCAUUGGCAUAUUUUUUUUGGGAGAGAUGAAGACCAUCCUCAAGUUUUCUUACUUCAAUUCCUAGGAAAAAGUGCAAGUCACCCAAAUCCUUGAGAGCAAACUCAGCACUCAGAUCCUUCAACAAUCCUGCCACUGCCUCAUCAGAUGAACUAGUGACAAUAAUAUCAUCAACAUAGAUAAGCACAAAUAUAGAUGUAUUUGCCUUUCUAUAAAUAAAUAGUGAGGUAUCUGAUUUUGAUGGAACAAAUCCAAGUGCUUGUAACUUUUGACUGAGACGUGAAUACCAUGCUCGGGGUGCCUGCUUCAGUCCAUAAAGAGCUUUAUCAAGUUUACAAACAUGAAAGGGUGAGUUUUUAUCGACGAACCCGGGAGGUUGUUUCAUGUAUACUUCCUCUUCCAGAACACCAUGAAGGAACGCGUUCUGUACAUCUAGCUGUCUGAGACUCCAGCUCCUGAAAACAGCAAUAGAUAGCACAAGACGAAUAGUAGCAGCCUUGACAACAGGGCUAAAGGUAUCUUCAUAGUCGAUGCCAUAUCGCUGUUUGUAACCCUUAGCCACAAGUCUGGCUUUAUACCGAUCAAUGGUUCCAUCAGACUUCCUUUUAAUUCUGUAGACCCACUUGCAGUCAAUUAAAUUUUUACCUCAUGGCGGGGGAACCAAAUGCCACAUUUUGUUCCUCUGAAGCGCCACAUGUUCUUCUUCCAUAGCUUUCCUCCACCGUGCAUCUCCUAGGGCCUCAUCCAGGGUGCGUGGUUCACCUGUGUAGCAUGCAAGACCAAACUUGGUUUUAUAAUUUAUAGGUUGAAGCACUCCCUUUUGUAGACGCGUGCGUGGAAGGCGUGGAGAAGAAACGGGCACAGAAGAUCCAGGCGAAUCUGCAUCAGCCGAUCCCGAGGCGGAUUCUUCUGGUGUUGCAGCCGCAUCGGUUCCGGUGGGAUUUUCUGCGGUUGUUGUAGACGAUGGAGCGGGCACUGGAGGCACAGAAGAUCCCGCACCAGCUCCUGUGGCCGCGACAGAAUCAGCCUUCGAUCGCACGCCUGGGCCCCUGGCCGAAUCAGCGCCGAGUCCCGUGCUGAUUUGCUGGCGGCAAGCGUAACAGCGAGGCCCGCUCGCGGGCCAGCGGCCCCCGGCCUGCCGCGUGGGGGAGCCAGGUUGGCGCGGGCCUGGCGGAGCGUCUGGGCCGGUCGGUGGCGACCACAUGGUGGCGGCGAAGUCGUCGCUGCGGCCCCUGGUAGGUGCACGUGCGGGCGACGCGUUUCCUGGGUUGCCGCCGUCCUGCUGCCGCACGGAUCCCGAGGCGGAUCCGCUGCCAAACUGUUGUUGCGCCGAUCCCGAGGAGGAUAUGUCCCCCAGGGUUUGACACAUAAAAUGUCGUCUCUUUGGAUUGAUUUGUGCAUCAUUUUCGAUGAUUUCUUCACUGUUUUCUUCAUCUGCUGCUGUAUCUGCAUCAUCAUAGGACUCAUGCACAGGGUUAUGAGGAUUAGUCAACGUAUGAUCAUCACAAUUAUUCCCCCCCCAUGAUCAAUACCGGAGAGAUGUGAUGGAAGAAGGAGAAUUUCUUUCCUAAGGAGUGCACCGGCAUUGGGAUGAAGAUCAGCAAAAGGAAAUUUGGUUUCAUCAAACACGACAUCGCGUGAGAUGUAGACACGUCCGGUGGAGACAUCGAGGCACUUGACGCCUUUGUGUUGUGCGCUGUAUCCGAUGAAAACACAUUGUUUAGAUUGAUACAUGAGCUUGCGAUUGUUGUAUGGUCUAAGAUUGGGCCAACAAGCGCAGCCAAACACGCGAAGAGAAUUGUAGUCUGGCUUGACAUGGAGGAGUCUUUCAGUGGGGGUGUCAUUAUUAAUGACACGACUAGGCAACAUGUUUAUGAGGUGAACUGCCAUAAGGAACGCUUCGUCCCAAAACUUAAGCGGCAUGGAUGCUCUUGCUAGAAGAGCGAGGCCAACUUCUGCGAUGUGCCUGUGUUUGCGUUCGGCUGACCCAUUCUAUUGAUGGGCAUAUGGACACGACACAUGAUGAGAUAUGCCAAGGUUUUGGAAAAAUGAGUUUAGCUUUUCAUAUUCGCCUCCCCAAUCAGAUUGGAGGGCGAUGAUUUUGGUGUCAAAUUUUCGUUCAACGAGAGCUUGGAAGUUAAGAAACACUUGAAACACGUCGGAUCUUUUCUUGAGAAGAUAUAUCCAAGAGAAUUUGCUAAAAUCAUCGAUGAAACUCACGUAAUAUGUAUGUCUACCAACAGAAGUAGGGGCAGGUCCCCAGACAUCAGAAAAAAUGAGUUGUAGUGGUUUGGUAGAAAUACUAGUAGAAAUUGGAUACGGUAACUGAUGACUUUUAUCUUUCUGACAUGAAUCACAAAUUGUUUCGACAUCACUCUCCAACAUAUGAGAGUUUAUUCUUCCUAAGCAAACGUUCAACUAAAGGAAAAGCUGCAUGCCCUAAUCGAUCGUGCCACCGUGUUGAAGAUAGCUUGGUGGCACUAAAAACUUGUUUAUUGGAUCUUCUAAUCUCCGGAAUCAAAGGGUAGAGCCCACGAAUGCAUCGACCUCGAUAGAGCACUUUCUUCGUUGCCUGAUCCUUGAUCAAAAAAUAAAAGGGGUGAAACUCAAGGAAGACAUGAUUAUCGAUAGCAAUACGAUGAACGGAGAGAAGAUUUUUGUUAGCACUAGGGACAUGCAAAAUUUUCCGAAGGUGAAUUUUCCUAUGAGGGGUAUUAAUGAUUGUGUGACCAACGUGACGAAUCUUCAUACCUUCUCCACUGGCAGUGUGGAUGUGGUCCUUGCCGCGGUACUUCUCACGCAUGGUCACCUUCUCGAGUUCACCGGUGAUGUGGUUGGUUGCGCCGCUGUCCACAUACCAGUUUGUGUCCACUCCAUAUGAGCCAUCAGCAGCCCCAGCCACCUUCUCAUCUGAGGAUGAGUCACCGUCAUCAUCAUACCUGUACCAGCAGUCUUUCGCUGUGUGGCCAGGUUUACCACAGAUCUGGCAACAUGUGGCGUCGGGACGCUUGUUGGAGGAGUUACGGCGGCCGCCCCCGUUGUUGGUGUAGGAGGGCCAGCCACCAUUGUCGCGAGAGUCGCCACGGUCGCCGCGAUCACCGCGGUCGCCAUGGGUGUUGUUGUUGUUCCCCUUGCCGCGGGUUGGCCCGCGGUAGCGUGAGCCGCCACCUCGGCCGCGCAUGGCGGCGUUGGCGGAGGACUUGAAGCCGCCACCACCUGAGUUUGUGCCCUGGAACAACGCCACCCUUUGAUCGAAGUUGCUCAUCUGAGCAUACAGUUCAUCAAGGGUGACGGGCUGAGUGCGGGCGUCGAGGGCGGAGACGAGGGGUUGAUACUCCAUGUCGAGGCCGGCCGUGAUGUAGGAGAUGAGCUCGUCGUCGUCGAGUGGCUUGCCUGCAGCUGCAAGCUCGUCGGCAAGGGAGCGCAUGUGCGCGAAGAAGGCCGCUACUGACUGGUUUCCCUUCUGUGCGUUCGCAAGUGCGACGCGGAUGUUGUUGAUGCGGGACAGUGACUGAGACGAAAACAUGUUCGCCAGCACUGUCCAGAGCUCGUGUGCAUGGCAGAUCGAGGUCACCUGCACGAGUACUCCUUGGAAAGAUUGUUCAGAAGAUAACCAAGUACCUGCUGAUCUUCCCGGAACCAGAUCGGAUGAAGGGGGUUUGGUGUGGUCAUCUCCUUCCCGUCCUUGUCCUUGGUGACGACGGUCUUGGCUGGUUCCGGCAUGGUGCCGUCAACAUAGUCAUAGACGCCCGCGCCUCUGAGCUGCGGAGUGAUUUGUGUGCGCCAGAGGAUGAAGUUUGUGCGGGUGAGUUUCUCGGUAAUUUGGCCGGUGAGCGUGGAGUUGGAUGAGCUGAAGGAUGCCAUGGCGGAAACUGGUGCGAUGGAGGGCUGGGGCUAGAUGAAUGGAAAAGUUAGGCUCUGAUUACCAUGUGAGAAAGGCUGGGAACGUCGUGCCUUUGCCAGGGCCGACGGCUUCGUGUUUAUAUGCAGGGUCGCGACCUCCCUGAUAGCGUACAAGUUGUUGGGAUUACAAACGUGGAGAACAAGAGAUAGACUAAGAGAUAGAUAUCUAGUUUAACAAGAAAAUAAACCAUAACAGAUUCCUAGUCUAUCCUACGCUAGGAGCUUCGGUUGUUAAUCCCUUGGCGCAUACGAUGAGGGCUGUCACGUUGUCUAACAUGCAUAUACAAAUGUUUUUUAUCACUUCUGCUUCGAUACACCCUCCCUAAAUACAUCCAUGGCUGAGAUUACUCCAUACCCAAGAUGGUCUUUUCUAGAAGUACGUCACGGCGUGCGUAUGGCCUAUAUGACACGCGAUUGGGCCGGCCCACCGGGCGUGAGGCCUAUUUCAAAGUGCGACGUAAAAAUCCUACACUGUCCCUGGUGAUAAUAGAAGGCACGAGAUGUAUAAGAACACAUGGAUACACGUCUACCCGAUCAAGUCUCACGGUCUUUCGCUAUUGCGCAUCGUGCCAAAGCCUUUCACGCACACACAAACACACUGGACGGCCGGCGGGCACAACAAUGAUCAAAUGGCUAUCUAUCUAACACCAAACUAAGCAUAUUUGCAAUGCUCCUUGCGUCCACACGCUAGGUACCUGCUCGAGUCUUUUGCUUAAUAUGCAUCGUGUCAAAGAAUACACACACACAAGUUUAAUUCUCAACAUAAACGCACCCACACUAUUGGAUAUCUAUCCCAACUAAGCAUGUUUGCGUAAUCGCGUUGCCCCUUGCGUUACUCAACUGUGUGUGCAGUCACACAUGAACAUUCUUCAAUUUUCGAACAAAUUUUGAGAAGGAACAUUUUUUGAAAAUAUGAAUAAACUUUGAAAAAUGGGAACAAUUUUUGAAAUUCAUGUAGAAAUUCUCUUCAAAUUCAUCAAGUUUUUUUUGAAUUCACAUAUGUCAUUUUUUCAGAAGAUGUGAACUUUUUUUCAAAUUCGUGAAGCGAGGCUCUUUUUUUUAUAACACUAUAACUUGAGUAACUCGCCGUCAGAAGCACCAAGAACAUACCAUAUGCCCUCAUGUUAAUCAUGCUAGCUCUUGAAAACAGAAAUACAAGAAAGCACAGUCCAUUAUAUCAUUGAGUUAGCAUGCUGCAACAUCAUUCAAUACCAGAAAUCUGACAUGUUUUGUUGCAUUUGCAUAGCAAGAGGACACUGAAACAUGAAACUAUAAGGAAAACAUAUAUACACUUGCAAACUGUUGCCGUGCAUCCCAUUUGACAAAGCUCGUUUGGGCAGAACAACCACUUAGUUUGCCAAAACUAGACCCACAUCAACACAGAUCUACAACUACUUCAAAUUAAUCUACAGAUUAUAGAAAAUAAGAAGCAAAGAUGUUCAAUACUCUGAAGCAACAAUUUUUUUAUCCUCUAUUUCUUGUGUGAGUAGUCAACCUAACUUGUAAUAUAUAUAAGGUCAAGGUCAACUGCAAGCUACUUAGAGCUAAACAUGUUACCGAGAGACACUUGUAGCUACAUGCUCAUUAUGUUUGAUGUUUCUGCAGGCCCUAUCUGACCCAAGUUAACAUUGGUAACCCACCAAAAGCAUUUAGAGUACUUAUUGAUACCGGCAGUGAUCCGGCAUGGGUGAAUUGUCAAGCUGGACUGAGUGUGAGUCAUCAGCCCCAACAAAACUAUGUUUAUUCCCAUGUACUUUUUCAAACAUAAAAAAGGCCAUCGUUCUAUUUGUUUUUGUAUAUACACUAGGGGGCAUAUGACCCCCCCCCCCACCCUGCCUAUGUGCAAGGUGUGGGAGAAAAGGAGCAUGGAUCAAUCACUUCAUCCCCUUUCAACCCGGCCGGGCAGUCUCUCUCUCUCUCUCUCUCUCUCUCUCUCUCUCUCUCUCUCUCUCUCUGAAAAAAUGAAGUCUUUUUCUCAGAGAUCCAUUUAGAUACGAGACUUAAGGUGAUAAGUAUAUAUCGGUCGUUGCUCAUUUGGGUUUCAUUCAACCAUUUCAAGAUAAUGUCAUGAAAAUACGGUAAUAAAGACCAUUAUACCAAUGUUUAUGUGAAGUCCAGCCACCGAGUUAUCUUGUCCACCUUAUUGCUAUGAUCUUCGGUCCUCUUGUUUUUACCCGCAUAAAAAUUCAUUAGUGGCCUAAGCGGCGGGCUUUGAUCUGGCCUUAUCUAAAUCAGCGAGUCUAAGCAUCAACUAUUGUGAAAUAUGGAAUACACCAUGAUCAACAUAGUGUGGAAAUUGUAUGAUCUCAAGAAUAUUCGUGUUACUGUUGUAUUGAUCUGACCCUCCUGCGGAUAUAUAUAGACUACAUGAGGAGUAGAGGCUUGGAGUACAAGACAAGUUACACAUGGUUUAAACAUAUUCUAUCUCUACCUCCCUCUCUAACUUAAACUCAAUUAUACUUCUAACAUUUCUCCUUGGUCAUAAAAGGAGUGAAGCGGACGAUUGCGACUGAAUUUAAAGUCUUGUGCUUUCGUUGUUUUCUCCGCUUCGCCGUCAUCACUGCAUUUCUGAUUGUGACUAUAUAUAUGUUUAAAGAAUAUUUGCACACACAGGAUGGCUCCAGGACUUGCAUGUAAGUACAUACCGUGCGCAUGGCCCGUGCUUGCUCGUUAGUAUAGAUCGAUCUGCUGCAUGAAGACCCGGUUGCUUGGAGUAGAGGCGUGCGCUAGAAAGCUGCGGCCGCGCGGUGCAUCCAUUUGCCGCGCGUUGCGGCCGUUUUAAAGUGUGGCACACCUGACUUUCCCGCGCGUUCGUGAGGGGUGCCGGGCGGUGCAGCCAUUUGCCGCGCGUUGCCAACUUGCAUCUCGGCUAAGUAGCUGCCGUUUGCCGCGCGUUGAGUCCGCCGUAGGCGGGUAGACGGAGAUACGAGUUGAUGUCGGCCGUCGGGAGAUCCGUGUACGUACGCCCUCUAGCUAGUGAUCGGGACGUGUUGUGUGAUCGGCUCCCCUACAGGCCAGGACCCCGUGGAUGCAUCGGUCUUCGAGAUCUGGAUGCAGAAUCGCUCGUGGCUGCCGUUUGUUGCCGGAUGGAUGCUACAGGCGCGUGGCCACGGAGCUGGAGACGCGCCGGAGUUGCUAGUGUGUCGCGCGGCCGCCGGGGACGUCGUCGUUCCACGAGUGUGCGCCAACUUGGUGUAGAUGCAGAUUGUGGAAAUCCCGGUCGCUUGGAAGAGAUGGUGUGUGCUGGUGGAGUUUCGAUCUUGAAGCCGGCCGCAUGCAGCGGCGCAUGGUCGAAGCCCACCGUGACACCGUGAUCGUCGCUGAAUGGAAGCAACUCGUCCGUGCGCGGCUUGGGGUCGAGGCCGUGCCGCCCGAAGAGCACGUGGGGUUUUGCUGCCGUCGAAGGAGUUGCUCGGUGAAGAGAUGCAUGUCGACUUCGGAGUCCUGUUGCACGUGAUAUCGACGUAGUUCAAUCGUGCUCGCUGGACCGGUCGCUGCGUGUUCACAACGCACAGCGGUGUGUCGCCCAUCUAGGGGUGGACUCACGAGCAGCUCGGCUCGUUAAGCUCAUACUCGUUAAGCUCGUGCUCGUUAAGGCUCGGCUUGUUAAGCUCGUUAAGAUUAACGAGUAGAAAACCCUGCUCGGCUCGGCUCGUUUGAAGCUCGUUAAGCUCGUGAGCGCUCGUGAGCGCUCGUUAACAGAUUAUAAUGUUUUACGAUAUACAGGAUGAAUGUGUAAGUGUGGUUUUCAAGACGAAAUAUGAUGACUAUAAAAAGAAAUGCAGUAGUUUGUUGUCUCAUAGGUCGAUUAGAUUGAAUAGAUGGGCUGAGGUGCUAUAAAAGUUUGUCACAUAAAAUGAAAAUAUGUGUUGUGUUGUUACUAACGAGCUUAACGAGCUACUCGUGAAACUCGUUAGCUCGCUCGUUAAGCUCGUUAAGCUUAACGAGCUAAAAUCAAUGAUUGGCUCUGUUCAUUAAGAAGCGAGCUACGAGCUUAACGAGCCGAACUAUCGAGCGCUCAUUAAGCUCGCGAGUUACGAGCUUUUGGUCCAGCCCUACGCCCAUCACGGGCGAUUGGCGGCGCUCAGCUGCUCGUCAGGUGUGACUAGGUCUCAGUCAUUGAGCUUUAAGAGCAUCUUCAGCCGCGUCCCCCAACAGGUCCUCCUCGGGCGUUUUUGCCGCGUCGGCGCCGAAAAAUGGCCCAGUCGUCCCCCAGAAGCCCAUUUUUCGUCGGCUCGGGCCGAAACUGAUGCCGGCGGACCCAGACAGAACCCGGCGCCCUGGGGGGCGUCUGGGGCACUGGCACAAGCGAAAAGGAUGCGUGGGUCUGCCCUGUCGGCGAGUCCAGUGCCUAUUCCCGCCGUUUCUUCUCGCUUUUCCCCCACUUUCCUUCCAUUUUCUCCUUUCCUCCCGCCAAUCUCCCUCCCGCCCGCCUCCCAGCCGGCCGUCAUGCCACCGAAGAAGUACGUCGUCCCCCGCGCGGGGCAACCGCGACCUCCUCCGUCGCCCAGCCGAAACAGAGGAAGCCGAGGGCGCCGCCGUCCAAGCCACCGGGCAUGCCAAACGCCGAGUAGAGGGCGGAAGUUCAGCGACGGGAGGCUGUAACCGCUGACCGGUGAAACAGGGCCAUCGCCAAGAAGGCCCGGACAACGCGGCACACGCGGCUGCGACUGCCGCUUCGGCGGACCAAGCUGAGGCCGAGGCGGCUCGCGCGGGAUGAUGAAUCCACCCGGCAGCCACGCCCAGUACGCUCCCUGAGGCCAGCAAAGCGUCGGCUCUCCGUCGCCGCAGCCAUGGGGAUCGCCCUCGCAGAGCUACGCCGACGGGGACGCGCACGGUGGGUUCAACCCAAACAUCACUUUCCCCAUGGACACCCGGCCCAGCGCACGCCCUCGCCCGCCUUCGCCGGCAUGCAGUACCCUCCAUACAACUACUCGCCUCCCGCCUACGUAUCCUCCCCGACGCCCCAUCUCCGCAGUUGCGCGCUGCCCUUCUCGCACCUCGGUGACACCGACGAGACCGAGGGCGACAUGGACGACGUCAUCGCCGUAGGUUCGGCCGUGGCCGCCGCGUCUCCUAGGUUCGACACCCCGGACGAGACGGUGGAUCUCAGCGGCGGCAUGGACGGUGAGCUCGUCUACGUCUACGGCGAGGAGGAGCAGGAUGAGCAGGAGCAGGAGGAGGAGGACCACGAGGAGGAGGAGGAGUAGGAGGAGCCGGCGACUGUUCCGGCGAAGAGGCGCAAGAAUAAGAAGCGGGCGGCCAGGUCAGGCGAGCCGCGCAUGAAUUGGGCGUCUAAGGAGGAGGAGUGACUCGCCGAAGCUUGGAAAGUCGUCUGCCUCGACCCGACCACUGGCACGAACCAGAGCAUCGAGACGUACUGGGAGCGCAUCAAGGCCGAGUUCGACGAGCGCAAGCUCGUCGACCCCUACUUCAAAGGUGUCUACAUGUAGUGCGGCUCGAAGGCGAUGGCGAACCAUUGGGGGCGUAUCCAGGGGCGUGCAACAAAUGGCAUGGGGUCGUCGAGGAGGUCGCGGCUCACCCGUAUAGAGCGGCGCCAGCGUUGAGGAUCAGGUAUGCCACGCCGGUCUCCCGCCUCUCUUCGCCGUGUACGCCCGCUAACUGUUUGUUUCCCGCGUAGUUGCUGCGCAUGUUCGCCCUGUACCGGCAGAGCAACAGCGACGCCGAAUUCAAGUACCUCCAUGUUUACAAGCACAUUGACAAGUGCGAGAAGUGGGCGGAAGUCCGGCGCACCCUCGACAAGGCCAAGGAGACCUACAAGCCGGAUGCGCCGACUCCUGGCGCAUCGGAAGGGCGGUCGGACGGCAACAAAGGUGCCAAGAAGGGGAAACACGCUGACGCGGCCACCGCUCGAGUGCAGGGGUCUAUCGAGCACUGCCUCGCCGACGCGCAGGCCCGGGCCGUCCUUCGUGGAGAGAAGUCCGAGGCGCGGUGGUCGGCGUUGAUGUCGAGCAGCGCCAUCAAGCUCGACCUACUCCAGACCAACGUCGCCGCGAAGAAGAGAAACACCGACCUGGCUUUCCUGCUGGGCGGGGCGGACAUACUCCAGAGCACCGACGAGGCGGUCAAGGCAUGGUACUUGGUGGAGCGCGGCCUCAUCCUGAACCAGCUUCCCUCGACGACGCCACCGACGCCAACGCCCACGCCGCCGCCGCCGCCAAGCCAGCGUGAUGACGCCUCCACGACGCCUAGCAGCACCGAAGCCGUGACGACACUGCCCAGCGCAGAAGCAGCUCCGACAAUGCCAAGCCCGCGCAUGCCGACUCCGCCGACGCCUGGGGCCGACCCUGCCGAGUGAUGCGUUGCGCACGCGAACUUGUGCCGCUCUAUUUUUUGUACGCCGAACUGUGACUUGUGGUCGCCGGAUUUGUGGCGUCUUUUGUGAGCGGGAACGACCAAGUUCGAAUUUUCCACGUCCUGGGUCCGGCGUCUGGGGGCGUGACUAUGAGCUAGGUCGCCCCCAGGGGCCGAACUAGCACCGGUUCUCCCCCAGACCGCUCUUUUUAGCGCCCUGGGGGGCCGAAUGGCUGGAGAUGCUCUAACAAGUCUCGGUCAAAUGAUAUAAUAUGCAAAAGAUAAAAAGAAACAUAUAAAAAAAAUACGGAUCUCAGUCUAAGAUCUCAUGAAUAAAGCAUCGACUGAGACUUAAAGUCUCAGUCAACUAAGACUUAACAAGACUGUUUCUUCACCGAUCAGUGAGAUCGAUCUGAUUUAUUUCAGUCCAAAGAAUUUGACCUAAAGUAUUUUGAAAAUCAAAGAAUUGAUCUAAUCUAAUCUGGGUGUCGUGCCCUCGGGGCAUGGAGAUUAAUCUCCCCGGAAGCGGCGUGCUGCGGAAGUGGCGGAGGAACCUAGGAUCGGCAUCGUAAAACUAACUGCUCUAAUACCAUGUGGAAGUUGUAUAAUGUCUAUAAUAUUUGUGUUAUUGUUGUAUUGAUCUAACUCCCGUGAGGAUGUACAAGACAGGUUACACAAUGGUUUAAACAUAUUCUAUCUCUAACUUGAACUCAAGUAUACUUCUAACACAUAGUAGUCAGAUGCUUGUUGCACCAACUCAUUUUUUCUCAAUUUUUCGUGUUUGGAUAUAUGAGAAAUAGUAAAGACAUUCAAGGUGGAAAUUAGAUCUAGGCAUGUAUAGAAAUAAUAAAUGAUUCGUUAAAACACUGAUAAUCCUUGAAUAUUUGUGUUUCACUGCUAUCAAUGAAUAAUAGAAAGCCUCAAUCUCUGUAGCACCUAUAACACCCAAAAGCUCAAAUUAAGAUAACAAUGCAUAUUUGGGUUGAUUGUUUGUGCAAAAACAUUCUAAGCAACAUGAGGCUUCAGUAACAGUACAAUAAUGAGAUGUAUAAACAACAUCAACAACUUGACCAUUGCCACAAACUGAUCUAUCAAAAUAUAAUCUCCAUGGCACUAAAGAGAUGAUGGUUAUAUCAAUGUUAUGAACUUGCCAGUGGUUGAAAAUCCAAUUCUAGCUAUCAUUAUGAACUGUGACAAUCAGACAGUAAUUUUCAGGGCAAAUAGUUCAAAUGAAAACAUGUAAUCCACAAAGAAAAUAAGAAGGAUACUAAAAUAUGUCACACAUUCAAGAAACUCUGGAGUAAUAGAUUGGACUGCAUCCAAUUGGCUAAGAAUUUGGCAGAUCCCUUCUCAAAAGGGCCAUCACGAACCGUGAUAAUAAAUGCAAGGCGGGAGAUAGGUAUGAGACCAACAUGAGUUCCAUGGUGGUUACCUAACCUAUGUGAUUGAAGAUCUGUGAAAUAGGACCUGGGAAACAAUCUACUGGCUAACUAAGGAGAGUAACCCUAUUAACUCACUUCGUUAGAGAUGCACUGCUUUCACAAUAUGGAUGUCACAUUGACUUUUUUCUUAAUUUGUUCUAAGGCAUUUAUCAGCAAGAUUCUAUCCUAUAGAGCGAUCUUUGGAAGAACACACUUAUAUGAGCGCAACUGCUGGUCACAGCCUGUGAUAUAGGGUAAUCUCUAGGAAGCUCAUGAACAGGUCGGGAGUGUGACUAUUAAGCUCCACCCGUGGGGUUAGCCUUCAGCAACCUACUAUCGGUAAGACAACUGGUAAAACUUAUUUAUGCCAAACUGACAAUUCAAAGUAUAGUCCACUGUUCAAUUGUGACAAAGUGUAACCCUUUGCUCUAGGUGGAUGAUGUCUACUACACAACCUUUUUCUUGUAGACGUUGUUGGGACUACAAGUGCGCAGGUUUGUAGGACAGUAGAAAAUUUCCCUCAAGUGGAUGACUUAAGGUUUAUCAAUCUGUAGGAGGCGUAGGAUGAAGAUGGUCUCUCUCAAGCAACCCUGCAACCAAAUAACAAAGAGUCUCUUGUGUCCCCAACACACUCAAUACAAUGGUAAAUUGUAUAGGUGCACUAGUUCGGCGAAGAGAUGGUGAUACAAGUGCAAUAUGGAUAGUAGAUAAUAGUUUUUGUAAUCUGAAAUUAUAAAAAACAGCAAGGUAACAAGUGAUCAAAGUGAGCGUAAACGGUAUUGCAAUGAUGGUAAACAAGGCCUAGGGUUAAUACUUUCGCUAGUGUAAGUUCCCUCAACAAUACUAACAUAAUUGGAUCACAUAACUAUCCCUCAACAUGCAACAAAGAGUCACUCCAAAGUCACUAAUAGCGGAGAACGAACGAAGAGAUUAUGGUAGGGUACGAAAACCACCUCAAAGUUAUUCUUUCCAAUCAAUCUGUUGGGCUAUUCCUAUAAGUGUCACAAACAGCCCUAGAGUUCGUACUAGAAUAACACCUUAAGACACAAAUCAAUCAAAACUGUUUGAGAUCGAAAAGAACAAAUGAUCGAACUACUUUAUCGAUGGUUACAGAAUCCUUAUAUACAAUGGGAAUGGACGCGUUCGUAAGACGCGACUGUUCGGGAGCCUCUACAAGAUAUGUCGGUUCCUGGAAGCGACGUUCCAGGGAGAAACUGCCACGACGGGGAGCGGGGAUUAUUCCCUUAAUUAACGUUGUGUUAAUUAAUCUUAACACUCCCCCUAAUCACCGCUUGACCGCAUAAGGAUCCAUCAUCUUCUAUUAAAUCUCCUCCAAAAACCCUGUGGGGAAAAUAUGAGGAGAUAGGUGUUCCAUAUGUUGCUAAAACUCCUUGAAACCCAGUGGGAAAAAUAAGGAGAAAAUGAUGCAACACAUAAUGGUUAUUGUCUCUUUUAACUCAAUACGAGAAAACCCAUAGAGUUUAGAGGACAAUAAAUAUGUCAUAUAUGCUUUCCUAAAAACCCCGGUGGGAAAAACAGAAAGUAUGGCAUAUGAUCUCAUGUUGAUAUUACCUCAUUAAAAACCUUUAUGAGAACCUGUAAAGUAAACUCAUGAAGGGAAAAAGAGUAUAAUAUGAUGCAUUGAACAGGAACAAUUCAGGAAGAUACUCCCCCUGAUUCUUGCAAAAAUUCGAAGCCGUCACAUACCAAAACAUAGAAGUUGGUAGAGACCUGCUGAACAAAUCAAUCGCAUGAUUUGACUUGCAAGAUAUGCAAUAUAGUGAUAUUGCUUAUUAUGUAACCUGUUUGCAUCCGGGCAGCACAAGAAACAUUAUCGUUGAGAUAAUGGUUGGUGAAUGUAGCCAUGAGGUCUAAUUUGAAGACUCUUCAUGAGAGGGCUACCACACCUUGUAGGAACACUAAACUUGUCUACGAUCUGAUAGUGGGGAUCUGAUCGAUGUAUCCAAUGAUAUUGGUGUUCAAAUUUCUCCGAAACUAAAAAACCAAGACAAGAUGUUUCAUGCCUUGGAGAUAUCGAAAGAUAUUCUUGAAUACCAACCAAAUGUGUUUGGUGGAUCCAAUGACAUUAUGAAACGUUGAAUCACAAUAUCUCAUUUCCAUCAUCUCUUGGUCUAAUUGAUCUUUCUCUACGUCUAGAGAAUGAACUACCAUGAGAGUUAUGGAUAGAUAAGAUUUGUCCACAAUGAAUUUCUCCAAUAUAUUUUGGAUAUAGACAACAUAGUAUACCAUAAUGUAUGAAUGAAGGUGCUCAAGUUGUAGUAACGAGCGGUAUUUUGGUUUACCCAAAUCCUUCAUUUUAAAGUCCGUCACUUAGAUGAUUACAUGUGUCGUCAUUGUAGACACACAACACAUGGAUAAUCAUCAUUCUAGGAGUAAUUCUUGUUUAUAAGGAUCUCACUACGUCGGUUGUACCAUAUGUACCGACAACAAUAAGCCAUAUGGUGGCUUACCGAUUUUACACAAUGUAUGUUGCAUUUUGUAUUUCGAUUCAGAAUUGAGAUUCCAUCAGAAAUCUAUCAUAUAUGUGUGAAUCUAGUGAUCCACAUGGAUAUGUGGUCACUACAUCUAUCAACUGUAGAGAUAGAUGAUUUUGAACUGCCAAUGAUAUAAGUUAUCGGAAUGAGAUUCCACCUCUGGAGAAUAGUUGGGUAUCUGCGUGAACCCUUGUGCUACAAUACUUACUCUUUGUCUCACCACCUCGUUGUUCUCAAUUCUGUUUCCAGAAGAAAACUGGUGUAGGUAUUGCUUAUGAAUACCUUCCCAUUAUUGAGCAAGGUCAUUUCUACCUAGAUUAUAUCCUUUGCGUGAGUUCAGUCCGAGUGUUGAUCACACUUUGCCAUGGCCAUGGUCUUUGGAUCUGAAUCAUUUGUAAGGUUUUGCAAUCUAGUUGAGAAAUGUAUGUCGACAAUUGUAGACUUCCGGUUAUAUGAUUCUCCAGAAUCUAGAUAUCAAUAUAUAGUUGAUGAAAAUAUCGUUGCCCAUAGUGACUUCUCGCGAUUUCCCAAUGCGAUUGAGUCGGGUAUUCCGAUGUCCCGGUCAUUGUGUGCACUAUGACCUAGGUUGGUGGGGGUUUCUCGUCCACUGGGUGUAUACUACCCAUUAGGUGUCUGCCAACGUGAAGUUGACUUGCAUUUACUGAUUCGCAGGCCUUGAUAUCCUUACUUGCGAGAAGCUGAAUCCUGAUGUACCUCUGCCAUACAUGACCCCCUAUUGCUUUUAACGAGGAGUGGAGUGGAUUUUGCUGGUACCUCCACUCUUUCAGGCGUACUUUUGCAGGAUUGUAGGAUUGUGUGACACCUUUAUAGUCAGUAAAUGAAUGUGGCAGGUUAUUUGCAAUGUGUUGCAAAUCUUCUGAACGCAUGGUUCAGAUCUUUGAGUACGUGGAUUUGAGGCAGAAAUGUGUUGAACAUUUCACUAAUUUCCUGGCAUUUUUUAUGGUACUUGAAAUCUCCCCCUAAUGCCUGGAAAUGUUCCUAAAUGAAUCAGCAUACUGGCCUUGAAUAACUCCCCAUGCGAGGGGCUUGAGGUAUUGAUGGAAAUACCGUUAUUCCUCACAUAGAUCCCAACUAUAUGUUGAGGGGCCAAUGAUGUAUGCCGGGUGGUGAUAUCGGUAUGCAACCGAAUUACUGUAGAUAGGAAAUACUUGGUAGAUAUCCACAUAUCAAAGAUAGAGGGGAAUAAUAUUAUGCAGUUCUGUCAUGAGCAUGUAAAACUGCAUGACUCCAACGUAAAGUUGGUAAGUUGGAAUUCCAAAGUAAAGAUAAUGCAAUGAGCUUGACUCUUUGGAUAGGAUUCUACCAAACCAUUUUGAGUCUAGACAUUAGGACAAAUUGCUAAACUUCAAUCCCAUGGGCAUAGAGAAGGCACUCAAGGAGAAUUUUGCAAUGUUAUCCAUUCGAUUUGCUUGAAAUCAAUGUCAGAAUAAUGAGCCAAUGGUUUCGUGUGAAUAAAGCACACACUUAAGACCAUCAUUUAGACAUGUUUUUUAGAACCAUGGAAUACCUGAAUAGUCUAGUCAAUGGAUGGGAAGAGCCACUUACCUCAACUUGAUACAUUCAAGGAUUCUGAGUGGUUCAGUGUGGUCUUUAAGGUGUGCGAGCUUUAAAAAUAGCUUCCCUAUGUCACUUGUAGUGCACAUAAAAUCCAAAUGCUGUUAGAAUUUAGCAUCAUAAUAAUCAUAAACUAUUGGAAUUGCUGAUAGUUUCGGUUUCAACCCAAUGUCUCGAUGACCAAGGCGAGUAUGCCAAGUUUGUCAUGUACAAGACACUUUGGAAAACUAUCUCGUACGUAAAAUGUGCUACGGGUUGUGUCGUAUGUGUAGUACAAUCCAGAUGAUACACAGAAAAUGUGCUUGCCAUAUCCGUUGCACAUGGUAAAGAGAAGUUAUUUCUCUUUGUUGUCAUCAUAAGUUUCGCUAUGGAAACUAUUUUGACGGAUACCUCCAUAGUUUAGUAGGAUACGAGUUAAACCGGAAAGCAAUAAACCAUCCUUAAGUUACUCGAGUACCCACAGGGAUAGUAAAUAUGACUCGAGUUGAGCCAACAAAUACCUCAUCGCAUCGAGCGAUUUUAAAAUAUCUCCUUUUCUUACUUUUCUAGGGAAUUAUUGCAACAGCGGUAAACUUUCUGUUUUCAAAUAGCAACAUGUAUACUUGUAACAUAGGCAUAGUAAAGACUAUUAAUGCCACUUUUAUUGAAAUAAAAGAUGCAAAACAUUGUUCUAAAUAACAGCAAGAAAAUCCUAACAAAAUAAAUUGACGCUCCAAGCAAAACACAUAUUAUGUGGCGAAUAAAAAUAUAGCUCCAAGUAAAGUUAUCGAUGAACGAAGACGAAAGAGGAGAUGCCUUCCGGGGCAUCCCCAAGCUUAGGCUCUUGGUUGUCCUUGAAUAUUACCUUUGGGUGCCUUGGGCAUCCCCAAGCUUAGGCUCUUGCCACUCCUUAUUCCAUAGUCCAUCGAAUCCUUACCCAAAACUUGAAAACUUCACAACACAAAACUAAACAGAAAACUCGUAAGCUCCGUUAGUAUAAGAAAAUAAAUCAUCACUUCAAGGUACUGUAAUGAACUCAUUCUUUACUUAUAUUGGUGUUAAACCUACUGUAUUCCAACUUCUAUAUGGUUUAUAAACUAUUUUACUAGCCAUAGAUUCAUCAAAAUAAGUAAACAACACAUGAAAAACAGAAUCUGUCAAAAACAGAACAGUCUGUAGUAAUCUGGAUCAAACGUAUACUUAUGGAACUCAUAAAAUUCUCAAAUAAAUUGCUGGACCUGAGGAAUUUAUCUAUUAAUCAUCUGCAAAAAGAAUUAACUAAAUAACACUCUCCAAAUAAAAAUGGCAGCAAUUCUCGUGAGCGCUAAAGUUUCUGUUUUUGACAGCAUGAUUAACAAGACUUUCCCCAAGUCUUCCCAAAGGUUCUACUUGGCACAAACACUAAUUAAAAGUAUAAAACCACAUAUAAGCAGAGUCUAGAUGAAUUAUUUAUUACUAAACAGGAGCGAAAAGCAAGGAAUAAAAAUAAAAUUGGGUUGCCUCCCAACAAGCGCUAUCGUUUAACGCCCCUAGCUAGGCAUGAUGAUUUCAAUGAUGCUCAUAUAAAAGAUAAGAAUUGAAACAUAAAGAGAGCAUCAUUAAGAAUAUGACUAGCACAUUUAAGUCUAACAUACUUCCUAUGCAUAGGGAUUUUGUGAGCAAACAACUUAUGGGAGCAAUAAUCAACUUGCAUAGGAAGGUAAAACACGCAUAACUUCAAAACUUUAGCACAUAGAGAGGAAACUUGAGAUUAUUGCAACUUCUACAAGCAUAUAUUCCUCCCUCAUAAUAAUUUUCAGUAGCAUCAUGAAUGAAUUUAACAAUAUAACCAGCACCUAAAGCAUUCUUUUCAUGAUCUACAAGCAUAGAAAUUUUACUACUCUCCACAUAAGGAAAAUUCUUCUCACGAAUAUUAGUGGGAGCAAACUCAACAAAAUAAUUAUCAUGUGAUUGAAAAUUAAGAUCAAGAUGACAAGUUUCAUGGUUAUCAUUAUUCUUUAAAGCAUACGUGUCAUCACAAUAAUCAUCAUAGAUAGGAGGCAUGCUUUCAUCAUAGCUAGUGCAAUCAUCAUUAAUAUUAUGGAUAUUCAAAGAAUUCAUACUAACAACAUUGCAAUCAUGCUCAUCAUUCAAAUAUUUAGUGCCAAACAUUUUAUAGAUUUCUUCUUCUAGCACUUGAGCACAAUUAUCCUUUCCAUCAUACUCACGAAAGAUAUUAAAAAGGUGAAGUGUAUGAGACAAACUCAAUUCCAUUUUUAUAUAGUUUUCUUUUAUAAACUAAACUAGUGAUAAAACAAGAAACUAAACGACUCGAUUGCAAGAUCUAAGGAUAUACCUUCAAGCACUCACCUCCCCGGCAACGGCGCCAGAAAAGAGCUUGAUGUCUACUACACAACCUUCUUCUUGUAGACGUUGUUGGGCCUGCAAGUGCACAGGUUUGUAGGACAGUAGCAAAUUUCCCUCAAGUGGAUGACCUAAGGUUUAUCAAUCCGUAGGAGGCGUAGGAUGAAGAUGGUCUCUCUCAAGCAACCCUGCAACCAAAUAACAAAGAGUCUCUUGUGUCCCUAACACACCCAAUACAAUGGUAAAUUGUAUAGGUGCACUAGUUCGGCGAAGAGAUGGUGAUACAAGUGCAAUAUGGAUAGUAGAUAAUAGUUUUUGUAAUCUGAAAUUAUAAAAACAGCAAGGUAACAAGUGAUAAAAGUGAGCGUAAAUGGUAUUGCAAUGAUUGUAAACAAGGCCUAGGGUUCAUACUUUCGCUAGUGUAAGUUCCCUCAACAAUACUAACAUAAUUGGAUCACAUAACUAUCCCUCAACAUGCAACAAAGAGUCAUUCCAAAGUCACUAAUAGCAGAGAACGAACGAAGAGAUUAUGGUAGGGUACGAAACCACCUCAAAAUUAUUCUUUCCAAUCAAUCCGUUGAGCUAUUCCUAUAAGUGUCACAAACAGCCCUAGAAUUCGUACUAGAAUAACACCUUAAGACACAAAUCAAUCAAAACCCUAAUGUCACCUAGAUACUCCAAUGUCACCUCAAGUAUCCGUGGGUAUGAUUAUACGAUAUGUGUCACACAAUCUCAUAUCCAUCUAUUCAACCAACACAAAGGACCUCAAAGAGUGCCCCAAAGUUUCUACCGGAGAAUCACGACAAAAACGUGUGCCAACCCCUAUGCAUAGGUUCAUGGGCGGAACCCGCAAGUUGGUCACCAAAAUAUACAUCAAGUGGCACGUGGUAUCCCAUUGUCACCACAGAUAUCCACGGCAAGACAUACAUCAAGUAUUCUCAAAUCUUUAAAGACUCAANNNNNNNNNNNNNNNNNNNNNNNNNNNNNNNNNNNNNNNNNNNNNNNNNNNNNNNNNNNNNNNNNNNNNNNNNNNNNNNNNNNNNNNNNNNNNNNNNNNNNNNNNNNNNNNNNNNNNNNNNNNNNNNNNNNNNNNNNNNNNNNNNNNNNNNNNNNNNNNNNNNNNNNNNNNNNNNNNNNNNNNNNNNNNNNNNNNNNNNNNNNNNNNNNNNNNNNNNNNNNNNNNNNNNNNNNNNNNNNNNNNNNNNNNNNNNNNNNNNNNNNNNNNNNNNNNNNNNNNNNNNNNNNNNNNNNNNNNNNNNNNNNNNNNNNNNNNNNNNNNNUCCAACUAUAAUAGCAAAGCUCGCGAUACAUCAAGAUCGUGCCAAAUCAAGAACACGAGAGAGAGAGAGAGAUCAAACACAUAGCUACUGGUACAUACCCUUAGCCCCGAGGGAGAACUACUCCCUCCUCGUCAUGGAGAGCACCGGGAUGAUGAAGAUGGCCACCGGUGAGGGUUCCCCCCUCCGGUAGGGUGCCGGAACAGGGUCCCGAUUGACUUUUGGUGGUGCCGGAAUAGGGUCCCGGUUGACUUUUGGUGGCUACGGAGGCUUGUGGCGGCGAAACUCCCGAUCUAUCUUGCGUUCUGGAAGUUUUAGGUCACGUUGGUAUAUAUGGGUGUAGGAGGUACGUCAGGGGAGCCACGGGGGCCCCACGAGGCAGGGGGCGCGCCCCCAUCCUCGUGGGCAGCUCCCGUAUCUUCUGACAUGGGGUCCAAGUCUAUCAGGUGUAUUUCCUUCCAAAAAUAACUUCUCCAGUUGAUUUCGUUCCGUUCCGACUCGGUCUGAUAUUCCUUUUUUUCAAAACACCGAAAUAGGCAUAAAACAACAAAUCUGGGCUAGGCCUCUGGUUAAUAGGUUAGUCCCAAAAAUAAUAUAAAAGUGGAUAAUAAAGCCCAAUAUUGACCAAAACAGUAGAUAAUAUAGCAUGAAGCAAUAAAAAAUUAUAGAUACGUUGGAGACGUAUCAGUGGACGUUCAACCUUAACCAGUGUCCACUAAAAAUAUUAGUAUAUCAAAACAAUUUUUUAGAACAAAGGACAACAUAAUGUGCCCCCGAGAUCUGAUGGGGCAUUGUUGAAGUAUAGAUGGGCUUUGGUCCCAUAUAAACAAUAAUUCAUGGUUGGUCUAUAAGGUCCAUGUGGGUGCAUGACAUGGUGAGAAAUUUAGUACCCUACUUCCAGUGGAAGAGAGUUGAGACCUCUUUACAAGGUAUUCUCUUUCACAUGCUAUUGCCGCUUGAAAAGAGGAAUGAUACACGCGCUUCUCCUCUGUCGCCCGUCUCGCCAUGCCAAUCAUCAUACGCGCUUCGUGUUUCAUGAAUGAGCCGAGCUGAGCUUAGACCUAUGUCAUGUGUGCACUUUAUUUUUGCCGGCCAGGAACAAUUAAUUAAUUAAAGAUAUCUGAGAGGUUGGACCAGGAGUUGUUGCUGACUUAGUCAUGGGCCAAAGCCCUGGCCCACGUCUCCCUACCCAACGACCUAUAUACUGGAGGCGUUGGCAACGCUAGCCGAUACACACUCUCUGCCUCCUCGCGCAUAACCCUAGCCGCCACUACCGUCCCACUCAGUGUUGAUGCUUCCGACAAUCCCAUCCUGUCGACCAUACGACAUGCAAUGAUAUGUACAUUUACUUGGAUAUUAGAAUGCUAUUUUACUAUGACAUACAUUUAUAACUAGGAUGGAAAGUGAAACUAAAAGUUAUCAACAUAGCAACUCUUAUGAACCUCUCUCUGCGUUAGGGUCAAAGGUAGUCUCUAAGAGAAGUUCCCAAGAACCUAUUGCAAAAACCCAUUAUCUAGUUUGCCAUUUUUUCAAAAAAUGUAAUAUGAACAAUUUUUUAACACAUGGUCAACAUUUUUCUAUACACAUUUAACAUUUUCCAAAUGCUUGAUUAACAUUUUUAAAUACUUGUUUAACAUUGUUUCAACUGCUCAAUAAACAUUUUUUAUAUACAUGAUCAAGAAAUUUCUUGAUUUUUUAAUAUAUGAUCAACAUUUUUUCUAUACACAUUUAACAUUGUUCAAAUGCUUGAUCUACAUUAUGUAAAUACUUGUUCAAUUUUUUUAAUAAGAGAUCAACAUUUUUUAUAUACACGUUCAACAUUGUCCGAACAUUUGUUCAACAUUUUUUAAACACCUGCUCAACAUUUUUAUACUUAUUAAAAACAUUUAAUACUUGUUCAACAUUUCUCAAAUACUCGCUGAUCAUUUUUUAAAUACUUGUUGAACAUUUUUAUAUACAUGAUCAAGAAAUUUUAUCAUUUUUUAAUACAUUGUAAGCAUCUUUUUAUACACAUUCAAAACAUUUCAAAGUGUAAAGAAAACUGAAAAUGGAAUCAAAAAAUAAAAUAAAAACAUGGAAAAAACAGAAAAGAUAACGAUGCAGUGUACCUACCGCGAACUGGGCUGGCCCAUAUCCUCGUGCUCUUCAGUGAGUAAGAAGACUCGACUCGCUGAACGCGAGACAUAGCAGCGCCCCUCAUUCUCUCUCUCUCUCAAAAAAAAAAGCAGCGCCCCCCAAGCGAUACAUAUCAAUUAUGCUCUUAGGGAGGACCCCAUUAGUCACCUACGUCUUCCACGCCUAGAAUAACUAGCACACCACUUCUAAAAAAAACUAGCACACCACACCAAAAUUCAAAAAAGAAAAAUACUGCCCCUAAAAAAGGUUAGUAGCACACCACACUUUUUUUAAUGGCAUACCACACGGUGUUGGUUACGAAAAGUCACACCACAUGUGUGUUUGUGUGUGCCCGAUAAAUAAACAUGUAUGUAAAAGAACUUAUCUCCCAUAUAUUGAAAAGGUAAAAAGUGAAAAAAAGCCAUGCAACAUAAGAACAAAAACAGUGACAUAUUUAUAAAAUAUACUAUGAUAUUUUUUAAAAUACUCGAUAAACAUCUUUAAAAGUAUGAUGAAUAUUUCAAAGUACACACUGGAAAAUUUAUAUGUACAGAGUGAAUAUUUUAAAAAUAUAUGAUGAAAAACUUUAAAUACAUGAUAAUUUUUUUUAAAAGAUGAUGAACAUCUUAUGAAAAAAUGCAACGAUGAAAUAUUGACAUAUAUUAACCUACACGACGAAGAUAUUUGGAAAACAAAAUGAACAUCUUUUAAUAAACCAAAAAAAUUAAACUACACGAUGAUCAUUUAGUUAAUAUAGAUAUGAAUACUUUUCAUUGCACCAAAACUUUCUGAAAGUACACGAUGAUCACCUAUUAAUACACGCCAAUUUUUUUUUGAUACAUGAUAAACAUUUUUAAAUACAAGAAAAACACUUUUUAAAUAUAUACAAUGUACAUUGUUUUAAAACAUGAUGAAAAAAGAGCUGAGAAAAAAAUAAAAAAGGAAGAAAGGAGAUAAUAAAAAUAAAAGAAAAAGGAAAUGAGAGAGAGAGAGAGAGAGAGAGAGAGAGAGAUCCCUCAUUCUGGUUAACAUGGCCAAGUGUAUUAUAUUAUUUUUCCAAGAUAAAAAUGAAUAUUAAACUAGGUAAAUAGGGAAAUCAACAUGGCUCAAAAAUCCAAGGAAGGAAUAAACCCUAAUAGACCUGUUUAAAA